UACGAAGGGGGCUAGCGUUGCUCGGAAUUACUGGGCGUAAAGGGAGCGUAGGCGGACAUUUAAGUCAGGGGUGAAAGCCCGGAGCUCAACUCCGGAAUUGCCCUUGAGACUGUAUCGCUUGAACACGGGAGAGGUGAGUGGAAUUCCGAGUGUAGAGGUGAAAUUCGUAGAUAUUCGGAAGAACACCAGUGGCGAAGGCGGCUCACUGGACCGUUGUUGACGCUGAGGUGCGAAAGCGUGGGGAGCAAACCGG
rnacentral:rRNA from 1 species